CCCAUUCUUUAAUUUGUGGGAAGUCUACCAUUUUCCAUUUAUAAAGCAACUAUUUAUAGUGCUCUUGUCCAGUGCGUAAAUUGGUUUAACAAGAUCUAAUUUUGUUGAGGUAACUGAUAUCCCGGUACAGGACUAUCUAAUGUAUUGUUUCAAUUGUCAGGUUUGAUUUUUCUCUUUCUGAUUUCUAUUCAGCUGAGUAGUCAUAGUGGUCUUAGUAAGUUCUCUCAUAUUUAUAUGAACAGUUUUCUGGAUUUCAGUCAAGAUUCAUUGUCUAGAAUCUAGAUUAAUUGGGAGAGAUUUAAUUAUCAGAUUUUUUUUUUUUGUCCAUUUUCUAAAUUAUGCUUAGCUGAUUUACAACAAAAGAGGUGGUCAGUUAUUGCACAAGACUAGGAGUUAUUGUUUUGGUGUUAACUUAACUGUGCCAGAGAUCAUUUUUAUAGUAGUUGAGCAAAACAUCGAUUUUGUUUUAGUGAGAACUGUUUACACUAACCAUACGUACUCUGGGAGCUGAGUACACUUAGUAUGCACAGACAUCCUUAAUGUGAGAGUAGAUGCUUCCCAGGAUGAGCUUGCUAGUUAUUUUAUUAAAUUAUUUAGAAUUUUAAAUAUAUUUUUUAGAUGUCCUUUGAUUGUAAGCUACCUGUUCAUGUAUUUAGUAGUUUGAUCGUAUUUUAGAGUACUGCCACAGAACACAAUUUUGGUUGACAUUUGGCUUGAUGACUAUUUAAGUGAAAAGUUGUCAUUGUAAUUUAUUAUCAUUAGGUUUGAGUCACCAUAGAUAAGGUGAAAUGGUGAAAUUAAAUUUUUUUGUUAAUAUUUCCUCAAUAUUUUGAAUGUGUCGUUUUGCAC